AGACAGAAAAGAUUGGAAAUAACAAAGUCUGAGAAAAGAUGCUGGUGGCCAGGAAAGGAGAGACCAAAAAUGUGCAUCUUUGGGAGACAAGGAGAAGUUCAGUGUGAUCAUGUCUGCUGGGAAGUAAUGGGAGAAGUUUAAAAACACAACCAAAGACAUCUGUAAUGAAUGGGCAAAGGGAUUACAAUUCUUCUGAUUCAGACACUUCGAGGAGAUUAUUCUUACCCUAGGAGACAUUAUUCUGGAAUUGGAGGUGAGACAUGUCUGGACUUAACUACCGUGACCACCAGCACCCUCUGAUUUAGUUUUGUGUUGCGGGAAGUCAGGGACCCUGAAUGGAAGGACCUGCUGAAGCCGUGACAGAAGAAUAUAAAUCAUGAAGAUUUCAUGGACAUUUAUUAGUUCCCCAAAUUAAUACUUUUAUAAUUUCUCACACCUGUCUUUACUGCAAUCUCUGAACAUAAAAUUGUGAAGAUUUCAUGGACAUUUAUCACUUCCCCAAUUAUCAAUACUCUUAUAAUUUCCUAUGCCUGUCUUUAUUUUAAUCUCUUAAUCCCAUCAUCUUCCUAAACUGAGGAUGUAUAUCGACUCAGGACCCUUGUUUGCUUUUUCUGGGACCUAUUCUCUACUCUUUGUGGCCCGAACCCUUCAAGGCAUUGGAUCUUCAUUUUCAUCUGUUGCAGGUCUUGGAAUGCUGGCCAGUGUCUACACUGAUGACCAUGAGAGAGGACGAGCCAUGGGAACUGCUCUGGGGGGCCUGGCCUUGGGGUUGCUGGUGGGAGCUCCCUUUGGAAGUGUAAUGUAUGAGUUUGUUGGGAAGUCUGCACCCUUCCUCAUCCUGGCCUUCCUGGCACUACUGGAUGGAGCACUCCAGCUUUGCAUCCUACAGCCUUCCAAAGUCUCUCCUG
rnacentral:sRNA from 1 species